rnacentral:rRNA from 1 species
UACGUAGGGUGCAAGCGUUAAUCGGAAUUACUGGGCGUAAAGCGUGCGUAGGCGGUUUUGUAAGUCUGACGUGAAAGCCCCGGGCUCAACCUGGGAAUUGCGUUGGAGACUGCAAGGCUUGAAUCUGGCAGAGGGGGGUAGAAUUCCACGUGUAGCAGUGAAAUGCGUAGAGAUGUGGAGGAACACCGAUGGCGAAGGCAGCCCCCUGGGUCAAGAUUGACGCUCAUGCACGAAAGCGUGGGGAGCAAACAGG